rnacentral:rRNA from 1 species
UGGCGGACGGGUGAGUAAUGUCUGGGAAACUGCCCGAUGGAGGGGGAUAACUACUGGAAACGGUAGCUAAUACCGCAUAAUGUCUACGGACCAAAGCGGGGGACCUCCGGGCCUCGCGCCAUCAGAUGAACCCAUAUGGGAUUAGCUAGUAGGUAAGGUAACGGCUUACCUAGGCGACGAUCCCUAGCUGGUCUGAGAGGAUGAUCAGCCACACUGGGACUGAGACACGGCCCAG